GACGAACGCUGGCGGCGUGCCUAAUACAUGCAAGUCGAGCGGGGAUUAUGCUUGAUCGCUUCGGUGAGACGGCAUAUAUCCUAGCGGCGGACGGGUGAGUAACGCGUGGGUAAUCUACCUCGUAGUUCGGGAUAACAGGCCGAAAGGCUUGCUAAUACCGGAUGAGUUCAUGCUUAUGCAUAUAGGCAUGAAGAAAGGGCUAGCCCGCUAUGAGAUGAGCCCGCGUCCCAUUAGCUUGUUGGUGGGGUAAUGGCCUACCAAGGCAACGAUGGGUAGCCGGCCUGAGAGGGUGUACGGCCACACUGGGACUGAGACACGGCCCAGACUCCUACGGGGGGCAGCAGUAGGGAAUUUUCGGCAAUGGGCGAAAGCCUGACCGAGCGACGCCGCGUGAGGGACGAAGGCCUUCGGGUUGUAAACCUCUGUCGUGGGGGAGUGAGAACGGGACGGUACCCCGGAGGAACGCCCGGCUACUACGUCGCCAGCAGCCGCGGUAAAACUAGACGUAC
rnacentral:rRNA from 1 species